GAUGAACGCUGGCGGCGUGCCUAAUACAUGCAAGUCGAGCGAACAGACGAGGAGCUUGCUCCUCUGACGUUAGCGGCGGACGGGUGAGUAACACGUGGAUAACCUACCUAUAAGUCUGGGAUAACUUCGGGAAACCGGAGCUAAUACCGGAUAAUAUAUUGAACCGCAUGGUUCAAUAUUAAAAGCCGGUUUUGCUGUCACUAAUAGAUGGAUCCGCGCCGCAUUAGCUAGUUGGUAAGGUAACGGCUUACCAAGGCAACGAUGCGUAGCCGACCUGAGAGGGUGAUCGGCCACACUGGAACUGAGACACGGUCCAGACUCCUACGGGAGGCAGCAGUAGGGAAUCUUCCGCAAUGGGCGAAAGCCUGACGGAGCAACGCCGCGUGAGUGAUGAAGGUCUUCGGAUCGUAAAACUCUGUUAUUAGGGAAGAACAAAUGUGUAAGUAACUAUGCACGUCUUGACGGUACCUAAUCAGAAAGCCACGGCUAACUACGUG
rnacentral:rRNA from 1 species